GGAGCUCCCACGGAAGUCCCCCUCUCUCCUCUCUCUCUCUCGGCCGCCUUCUUUCUUCUCCUUUCCAAGCGGCGACGACAGGGGAGUGGCGCCGCCCUUGCCAGUUUCGUCGGGCGCUUCGCCGGCCAAGUCUCCUUUUCUAAACUCGUAGUCGCUGAUGGGGAAAGCAAAGCGUGCCUCAAUCUUCAUCAGGCUGGUUUCUGCAGCCGGUACUGGGUUCUUCUAUGUGAAGCGCAAGAAUCCUCGGCGGAUCACUGAGAAGCUUGAAUUUAGGAAGUAUGAUCCCCGUGUGAACAAGCAUGUUCUGUUCACAGAAGCAAAGAUGAAGUGAGAUCUUCUACCUUCACACAAUGCAGAACAGGAAUAGGUUGUCAGCAUUUUGCAAUCAGAAAUCUCUAGUACCAUUAAGGAUGUCAUGUUCUGGUUUCCAGUGUUCCAUUUGGAUAACUGUAAUGGGCAUAUGAUUAAGGAUUUGAUGUGCUCUUCCAGUCGAUUUUUUGCAACAAUAAACAUUUUGUUGCUCGAGUGAGCUGCAGACCUGCAAACGACUAGUUUUUUUUAAAAUAAUUUUCUUUUGAGGUAUGAGCUAUAAUCAGCUCCUGAUGAAGGAAAUCUGGACCUCCCAAGUUCUAUUUACACCUUUCAAUCCCACCA